rnacentral:rRNA from 1 species
UACGUAGGGGGCUAGCGUUGUCCGGAAUCAUUGGGCGUAAAGAGCGUGUAGGCGGACCUGCAAGUCGGGGGUGAAAGCCCGAGGCUCAACCUCGGAACUGCCUUCGAUACUGCGGGUCUCGAGUCCGGGAGAGGUGAGUGGAAUCCUAGUGUAGAGGUGAAAUUCGUAGAUAUUAGGAAGAACACCAGUGGCGAAGGCGGCUCACGUGGCCCGGUACUGACGCUGAGGCGCGAAAGCGUGGGGAGCAAACAGGG